GAUGAACGCUGGCGGCGUGCCUAAUACAUGCAAGUCGAGCGAACAGACGAGGAGCUUGCUCCUCUGACGUUAGCGGCGGACGGGUGAGUAACACGUGGAUAACCUACCUAUAAGACUGGGAUAACUUCGGGAAACCGGAGCUAAUACCGGAUAAUAUAUUGAACCGCAUGGUUCUAUAGUGAAAUACGGUUUUUCUGUCACUUAUCGAUGGAUCCGCGCCGCAUUAGCUAGUUGGUAAGGUAACGGCUUACCAAGGCAACGAUGGGUAGCCGACGUGAGAGGGUGAUAGCCCACCUGAGAGCGGGACCGCCGUCAAUGCUCCUACGGGAGGCAGCAGAAGGGAAUCUUACGCAGUAGGCGAAAGCUUGACGGAACAACGCCGCGUGAGUGGUGAAGGUCUUCCGAGCGUAAAACUCUGUUAUUAGUGAAAAACAAAUGUGUAAGUAACUAUGCACAUCGUGACGGUACCUGAUCAGAAAGCCACGGCUAACUACGUG
rnacentral:rRNA from 1 species